GUUUAUGACCGACAUCUUGUCUCUGUCCUGUCAAGAUUCGGCUGUCUGAGGAGCGCAUGUUCCACGGAUGUAGAGUUUCAUGUGGUCGGAGAUGCCUAAGAUAUUUUUGUAUCUGGAAGUGUAACGUAAAGAUACGUUUUGAUCGUAGAUUCAGCAUAAAUUGUCGGCGAGCAUUGAUGUGGUGGUGCAACACAGGGGAAAUGGACUGUGACGAAUAACAAGAAGCAGCAGCAACAGGAGGGUGAAAUAAAGAAGAACAGGAAGAAGAAGAAGCGCGUGAAUGUGCCAAAUAUGUAAAAAACAUUAUUGUAGGUUAGACGCGAGAAGAUUUGAAACAAGAAAGGAAUGAAAAGAGAGAAGUAAUUGAGCUUUAUUUGCAAAGUGGGAAUAGAAUAGAUAAUAGGUAAUAUGUAAGGCAAUAUAAUUUUGUGGAUGAUAGAAGAACGGAUUUAUUUGGUUUCUAGAAGACUAAAGAAUAGGUAAAGAUGCAUUUAGGAGAUAUAUGUGUGCGUUGUUUAUUUGACCAUUGACCAUAAACUGCGAUAUUAGGCUUAAAAAAUAUAGGAUGACAGAUAGAAUAGUUUUGAAAGGUUAAGAGUACGGUUGCGUUAAGAAAGGUGUAAUUGCGAAAUGUACAAUGGAAUCGGGCAAUGGGAUGGAACACUAUUACGAAAGGUAGUAAUUAUAAUCUGGAAAUAUAUUAGUAAGGAAGAACACGGCUGGAAUCUUGUAAUUAUACGGACACUAUAUGGGAAGUGAUUAAUGUUAAAUGACUUCCAUUUAAAGGAACAAAAGGAAAUAUGGAGGUAAUUAGGGCGGAUUGUAAGGGUGGAUGAGAAUUACGACGCAUUGCGGACACAGACAGGAAAGAGAAAUUGUAUCUGUUAGGAGGUGGAUGAGCAGGAGGGAAUAGAGAGAAAGGAAAUUAUUGAAACGUUAUUUGAGAAAGGAAAAAGUCGAGGCUGAAGAAGAAACAAAUGUAAUUGUCAGAAAAACAAAAGGAGCCAUGUUUGUGGAAGAAAUGGAUUAAGCAGAAAUGUAUGUUUAAGUAAGCGAUACG